UGUCUGCUCUGGCGGAUCUCAUUUCCUCCCCUCCCCCACACGGUGACUCACCCCUCAUCAUCGCGCUGUGUGGCCAAGGCUCAGCCUGGGUGGGGGCCAGGGAGGCCGAGAGAGCUGCUCAGAGGAAACCACAGGCCUGACCCAGCUGGCAGACCCUGCCUCCUGCUCCCACUCCAUGCUCUGGUGAGAAGCAGGGCAACUGGGCAGAGCCUCGCUCUGGGAAACACAGGGCUCUUUCCAGCCGGGCCCCUGGCUUGCUGAGACAUCUUCAAGCUCCUCCCAUCUCUGAACCUCAGUUUCCUCUUCUGAUGAACAGGAGCCCUGCCUUAACGCUUCCAGGAACUCUCCAAUCCUGCCAGGGUGAGGGCAGACACUGGGAUCCUGUCUCCAUUAUCCACUGGUGUGUCCUACUGCCUAGAUAUAGUAGCUGCUCAAUAAAUAUUUGAAAAAUGAAGGAAGGGAGCCUGUGAUGGGAACAGAGAUAUUUCUCCAAGCUCCAGCCCCAGCCCCAGGUGGGUGUUCCUGCCCGGAAUGGUGGGGCGGGUGGAAGGAGCCCGGCCAGGGCAGACAGAGAAAAGCCAGUGUUGUUUUCCAGACAGGGCCAGGCCUGAGCAAUAGGACCCCUGGUUCUGCCCACAGCCCAGCCCUCCCGCCUGGCCAG